rnacentral:lncRNA from 1 species
GUGACCUUGAAACACAGCUCUGUCCACAGUCAGAGAAGGGCCAUAAUCAGCACUUUGCUUUCUGUGGGGCAAACAUGUUAACAGGACCACAAAGCUCCUGGGAGAGUCUGCUUCCCUCUGGAGAUUGCUCCUUCUCUCUCUCUCUGGCUGGCCAACUCCUGGUGAUCUCCUGGGACUCAAGACACCUGACCUUCUCAAGAAGGUUUUUCUGACUUUCCCUGCUCCUCUCCUAAGGCUUGAUUUCAUAACACCUUGUACUGUAUAGCAGUGAUUAUGGUUGUGAUUUAACCUGAAGGCAAGGACUGUGCCCACUGCCGUUGCUCACCCCCACAUCCCCAGUGCCUAGACCAGCACUUGGCAAAAGGCAUAAAUAAAUUUAUAUUGAAUGAUUUAGAUGAAUGAUUA